rnacentral:rRNA from 1 species
GUAACGCGUGGGAAUUACCGUGCKCUGCGGAAYGCUCCGGGAGAUGGAAUAAUACCGCAUACCUUUACGGGGGAAAGAUUUAUCGGGGUAUGAUGAGCCCGCGUUGGAUUAGCUAGUUGGUGGGGUAAAGGCCUACCAAGGCGACGAUCCAUAGCUGGUCUGAGAGGAUGAUCAGCCACAUUGGGACUGAGACACGGCCCAAACUCCUACGGGAGGCAGCAGUGGGGAAUAUUGGACAAUGGGCGCAAGCCUGAUCCAGCCAUGCCGCGUGAGUGAUGAAGGCCUUAGGGUUGUAAAGCUCUUUCACCGGAGAAGAUAAUGACGGUAUCCGGAGAAGAAGCCCCGGCUAACUUCGUGC